rnacentral:rRNA from 1 species
AGGACGAACGCUGGCGGCGUGCCUAAUACAUGCAAGUCGAACGGCUUUUCUAUGGAAGCUUGCUUCCACUGAGAAGAUAGUGGCGGACGGGUGAGUAACACGUGGGUAACCUGCCCAUAAGAGGGGGGAUAACAUCCGGAAACGGGUGCUAAUACCGCAUAGUUUUUCUGAUCGCAUGAUCGGGAAAGGAAAGACGGCCUUUGUGCUGUCGCUUAUGGAUGGACCCGCGGCGUAUUAGUUAGUUGGUGAGGUAAUGGCUCACCAAGACGAUGAUACGUAGCCGACCUGAGAGGGUGAUCGGCCACAUUGGGACUGAGACACGGCCCAAACUCCUACGGGAGGCAGCAGUAGGGAAUCUUCCGCAAUGGACGAAAGUCUGACGGAGCAACGCCGCGUGAGUGAAGAAAAGGUUUUCGGAUCGUAAAACUCUGUUGUCAGAGAAGAACAAGUUGGAGAGUAACUGCUCCAGCCUUGACGGUAUCUGACCAGAAAGCCACGGCUAACUACGUGCCAGCCGCAGC